rnacentral:lncRNA from 1 species
CACUAACCUUACCAGGAUAUUCACUUCACUGCAGCUUCAAAGUAAUGAAGAACUCUGAAGUGAUACACAGGGACCUGUCUGAUGUGAUGAUUGAAUCCCCUGGUUACAUAUCGGUGGCUGUUUAUAAUGAAGAUGGCCGAAGACCGUCGACUGUGAGUCUAUCUUUUGGGUGAGGCACCUGGAGGCCAGAUACAUAUACUGACUGAUGAGGUCCGUCAUCGCCAUGGUAACACCGAGACAACGGCUUCCAGAGUGGAUUCAGUGUUCAGGGGUGCCAAUUAAAGAAAGGGCAUGGAUGCUGUGGAGUGGGUGGAGCAUAUGCUGGAUGAUGAACACGUUCACUGAUGACAUCUCCAUGGCAACACACAUGAAGUAAAGACACCUACUUUGAGGUACACAAGGCAGCUUGAUUGGACUGUCAAAAAUGCUGCUCAAAGUGCUAUUUCAAGAUUUGAUUGGAGGUUGGCAACUUUGGUCGUUAAAAACUCUUCUCUACAACUGAAUGGUCUCCACAUGGGUCUCCAGAAUUGCAUACAUUCCUCUGUCUGUUUAAAUACCAGGUUAAAUGCACUUGUAUAUUUUAUUCCCAAAGUUGAAUUUGUAACCAUGUUCUAGAUUCUUGAAAACAUUGCUUUGACCUUGAGACUUGCAUCUUUUAGGCAUUUCUGUACAUCCAAAAAAUCCUGCCAUGAACAAGACAGGAAAAAAAUGGCCUCUCCCUAAAAAAAAGCAGUUAGAAACCGUCAAAGUCAUGAUGUGGCAGUAGUUCUGUGGCACUCAUUCUUAACAAAUUAUGCUCUGAAUUUCUCUGCAGUUUCAAAAUGAUGUAAGCUAGGAAAAGUAGUUGUGAGAAUUUAAUGAUUAUUCCCUGUGAUUGUUAAUUAAGCGGCAUAAUUCAUUAGAUUUCAAAGUGAUGGGUAUCAACAAUACUCUUACAUCAUCGAACUAUCCUGUAAAAGUCAAGAUGUUUUCAGCAUAAAACGUCCCUGCAGCAAUUGUAAUUGAUACGAUAAUCUUGUGUCAAAACGACUAUCCUACUGUUUACCCUUUUAUUGUUUACUUUUAGCACAUGCUUUGGUGAAGACCAAAAUUUAGACCAAAGUUGCUUCAUAUGAACCAGUUUUAGUGGAAGUUUUAAACAAUUUCAGUUCUCUCCAUUUAUGCCUUGUCCGUAUCAUUUUCAAGCACUGAAUAUUUGUAAUGUGUGAGUUUAAUAAUGCUGCAUUGCAGCAUUAGAGCGAUGCUUAUUUUCAUAACAAAAUUGAAAGACUAAAUCUGUAGAAUGAGUGGCAAAAAAGAAGUUUCUAUUUCCAAAAACGAAUUUGCAUUUCCAAUUCUAUGCCAUUCCCGGAUUGGAUUGAGUUGAAAAUGACUGUUAUGGACGAAUAAUUUUUUUUGAAUGGUCUGAAAGUGAAAUCAAUAUUUUGGGCAAGUGACCCUGAUUUGAUGGAAUUAAACUUUGUUAUAACUAAAGCAAUCUUAAGUGAAAGAAGUGCAUAAACCUAUGCUAAGUUGGAAAAGGCCAGCAUGCAAUACUUGAGCAUGUGCGUCACUUUGAUGCUACAAACGCUUUGCAAAGUAGUCAAGCCAAAGUAAAGCUCUUGUGUUAAAAGUUUCUUAGCAGUUUUAUGGACGCAUAAUCUGUACGUAGUUUAAUAAGACAGGAAACCUCUUGCAGGACGAUGAAUGAACUUAUGUUACUGGAAUCUUUUCCCUUUGCUGAAGUGUUAAAAGUUGAUGAUGAAUGUUUAUUUUAUAUUAUUUAAUUCGUAUUUUUUUUCAGGUUUAAUUUGAAGUACCCAGUUUAAUGGCGUGAAGUGCAGUUAAUAAAUUCUCAGCGAUGUCUUUUACUCACAGUA